rnacentral:rRNA from 1 species
GACGAACGCUGGCGGCGUGCCUAAUACAUGCAAGUCGAGCGCAGGAAAUCGACGGAACCCUUCGGGGGGAAGUCGACGGAAUGAGCGGCGGACGGGUGAGUAACACGUAAAGAACCUGCCCUCAGGUCUGGGAUAACCACGAGAAAUCGGGGCUAAUACCGGAUGGGUCAUCGGACCGCAUGGUCCGAGGAUGAAAGGCGCUUCGGCGUCGCCUGGGGAUGGCUUUGCGGUGCAUUAGCUAGUUGGUGGGGUAAUGGCCCACCAAGGCGACGAGGCAAAGCCGACCUGAGCGGGUGAUCAGCCACACUGGGACUGAGACACGGCCCAGACUCCUACGGGAGGCAGCAGUAGGGAAUCUUCCACAAUGGACGAAAGUCUGAUGGAGCAACGCCGCGUGAACGAUGAAGGCCUUCGGGUCGUAAAGUUCCGUUGUAAGGGAAGAACAAGUGCCGCAGGCAAUGGCGGCACCUUGACGGUACCUUGCGAGAAAGCCACGGCUAACUACGUGCCAGCCGCCGCCGUAA